rnacentral:ncRNA from 1 species
CCCGUCGACACGGGACGAUAUGUGGCUCAAGCGGUCCGACGGACCACGAGGGCCGAAUCGCAAG